CAAUAGCGUAUAUUAAAGUUGUUGCGGUAAAAAAGCUCGUAGUUGGAUUUCUACCGAAGAUAGCCGGUCGGGUCUUCGACCUUGUAUCUGGUUUUGUCUUUGGUAUCCUCAUAGGGAACGUUUCUGCGCUUUAUUGCGUGGUGCGGUAUCUAUGACUUUUACUUUGAGGAAAUUAGAGUGUUCACGGCAGGCAAACGCCUUGAAUAUAUUAGCAUGGAAUAAUAACAUAGGAUCUUCGUCCUAUUUUGUUGGUUUCUAGGGCUAAGAUAAUGAUUAAUAGGGAUAAUUGGGGGCAUCUGUAUCAACGCGUCAGAGGUGGAAUUCUUGGAUUGCGUUGCGACAAACUACUGCGAAAGCAUUUGCCAAGGAUGCUUUCAUUGA
rnacentral:rRNA from 1 species